CGCCACCAGCUUUCUGUUGCUGCCACCACCCGGCCCGACACGACCAGGCUGCCAAAGGCCGUGCCCGCCGCUUCGGCGAACCCAGAGAGGGCUUCCUGGGUCAGGAGACAUGAGCAGGGGCGGCAGUGACUUCCCAGCCUCACCCUCAACUCCUUCUUCAGUCUCUCUACGUUGCGGAUAUUGGUCAGUUCUUCGAGUCCUACAAGAAGAACCUAGAAGAACCAAAAGAGAAUGAAGAGCCCGGCUUGAAAGCAGUGACCGCGCCGAGGCGUUGUCUAGCAAGCGACAGUCUAAGGCUGCAGAGAGCAGUGCCCGACUCCAAGAUGGCCGCAUGACGAAUCUCGAGCAGAUCCCAGAGAAAUACCAUCUCCCCCUUCACCCUCGCGGGAUGGUUUGGUCCGGCCACUGUUGCCUAGCAACCACCAAAGGAGCCGGUUGUUUUUGUUAUUAGAAAAAGAAAGAUGAAAUCCUUUAUUUUCCAGAAUCAUAAAAACAAGAUUAUUUCUGUCAUAAAUUUAUACAUGUUCGUGCAGCAUGCUGAACGUGAAAAUACUCCUUCCCAAGCCCUUUCCCGAAAUAAAAAUUUGACAGUUUAACACAGAACAUUCACAGAUUUUUGACAAAUACGAUCACGGGUGCUAAUGUUGCCUUCAAACUUUUUCUCAUUAGACCAAAUAAAUAUAUGUUGUUUUUUUAAAAUGUCUUUUUAUAAUCAACAUUAUGCAUGUAACAAAAUCGAUUUAGCCAGUCCUGUAUUGACAUACAUUAGUUUCCUUCCUCUGUGUGUUUAAACUGAUAAAGUAAAAUUUCAUUUAGUUGUGAAUUUAAUCAGCUAGAACUUUUCUAUUUUGUGAGAAUAUGGCCUUCAUUCACCCAAAUGUAUUUGUGAAAUAUAUAGUAAUGUUAAAAAACAUGUUUCCUGGGCGCCUGGGUGGCUCAGUUGGUUGGGCGACUGCCUUCGGCUCAGGUCAUGAUCCUGGAGUCCCGGGAUCGAGUCCCGCAUCGGGCUCCCUGCUCGGCGGGGAGUCUGCUUCUCCCUCUGCCCCUCCCCCUCUCAUGCUCUCUCUCU